rnacentral:rRNA from 1 species
UACGGAGGGUGCAAGCGUUAAUCGGAAUUACUGGGCGUAAAGCGUGCGCAGGCGGUUUGUUAAGUCUGCUGUGAAAUCCCCGAGCUUAACUUGGGAAUUGCAGUGGAUACUGGCAGGCUGGAGUAUGGUAGAGGAAGGUGGAAUUCCCGGUGUAGCAGUGAAAUGCGUAGAGAUCGGGAGGAACACCAGUGGCGAAGGCGGCCUUCUGGACCAAUACUGACGCUCAUGCACGAAAGCGUGGGGAGCAAACAGG